rnacentral:rRNA from 1 species
CGGCGGACGGGUGAGUAACACGUGGAUAACCUACCUAUAAGACUGGGAUAACUUCGGGAAACCGGAGCUAAUACCGGAUAAUAUAUUGAACCGCGUGGUUCAAUAGUGAAAGACGGUUUUGCUGUCACUUAUAGAUGGAUCCGCGCCGCAUUAGCUAGUUGGUAAGGUAACGGCUUACCAAGGCAACGAUGCGUAGCCGACCUGAGAGGGUGAUCGGCCACACUGGAACUGAGACACGGUCCAGACUCCUACGGGAGGCAGCAGAU